GAAAUGCGAUACUUGGUGUGAAUUGCAGAAUCCCGUGAACCAUCGAGUUUUUGAACGCAAGUUGCGCCCGAGGCUUGUCCGAGGGCAUUUCCGCUAGAGCGUCACCGCGCCCCCCCCACCACGCUCCCUAAGUUACUUGGGAGUUUGAGUGGAACUGGCCGUCCCGGAAAUCGGGUCGGCUGAAAUGGAGGGAAUUUGGCCGCCGUGGUAGAACAACCAGCGAUCAGGUGAUCCGGGUGCAAACCCGGAACUCAAACGUGCGCCGGUUGUGACACCCAGUUGGUUCCGAGCUCCAAAGCAGGUCUCCCUCCCUUCGCUCCGGUGAAGGGAAGGAAAAACGUCACGCAUCAGACCUCUGAUCAGAAAAGACUACCCGCUGAGUUUAA
rnacentral:misc_RNA from 1 species